rnacentral:rRNA from 1 species
UACGUAGGUGGCAAGCGUUGUCCGGAAUUACUGGGUGUAAAGCGCGUGUAGGCGGCAGACCAAGUCGGCGGUGAAAAGCGCCCGGCUCAACUGGGCGAGGUCCGUGGAAACUGGUCAGCUGGAGGACGGUAGAGGCGAGUGGAAUUCCCGGUGUAGUGGUGAAAAUGCGUAGAUAUCGGGAGGAACACCAGUGGCGAAGGCGACUUCCUGGCCUGUUCUUGACGCUGAGGCGCGAAAGCUAGGGGGAGCAAACGGGG